GAGUUUGAUCCUGGCUCARAACGAACGCUGGCGGCRUGCUUAACACAUGCAAGUCGAACGUGAUUGASAGCUUGCUCUCAUGAAAGUGGCGCACGGGUGAGUAACACRUGGAUAAUCUGCCUGGCGAUUCGGGAUAACACUUCGAAAGGGGUGCUAAUACCGGAUAAGCCCACGGACUCUUAGGGGUUUGCGGGAAAAGGGGGCCUCUGUAUAUGCUCCUGUCGCUAGAUGAGUCCGCGGCCCAUUAGCUAGUUGGUAGGGUAAUGGCCUGCCAAGGCRACRAUGGGUAGCUGGUCUGARAGGAUGAUCAGCCACACUGGAACUGAGACACGGUCCAGACUCCUACGGGAGGCAGCAGUGGGGAAUUCUGCGCAAUGGGCGAAAGCCUGACGCAGCAACGCCGCGUGAGUGAUGAAGGCCUUCGGGUCGUAAAGCUCUGACGGUGGGRAAGAACCGCCGGGUGGUUAAUACCUGCCUGGUCUGACGGUACCCACAAAGGAAGCACCGGCUAACUCCGUGCCAGCAGCCGCGGWAAUAC
rnacentral:rRNA from 1 species